CUACGGGACGCUGCAGUGGGGAAUAUUGCACAAUGGGGGAAACCCUGAUGCAGCAACGCCGCGUGGGGAUGACGCAUUUCGGUGUGUAAACUCCCUUUAUAUCCCAAGAUAAUGACGGUAGGAUAUGAAUAAGCACCGGCUAACUCCGUGCCAGCAGCCGCGGUAAUACGGAGGGUGCAAGCGUUACUCGGAAUCACUGGGCGUAAAGGGCGCGUAGGCGGGUUGUCAAGUCUUGAGUGAAAUCCAACGGCUCAACCGUUGAACUGCUUGAGAAACUGGCAGCCUAGAGUAAGGGAGAGGUAGAUGGAAUUGGUGGUGUAGGGGUAAAAUCCGUAGAGAUCACCAGGAAUACCCAUUGCGAAGGCGAUCUGCUGGAACUUUACUGACGCUGAGGCGCGAAAGCGUGGGGAGCAAACAGGAUUAGAUACCCGCGUAGUC
rnacentral:rRNA from 1 species